GUUAUAUGGUCAAGCGAAUAAGCGUAUGUGGUGGAUGCCUAGGCGGCAGGAGGCGAUGAAGGACGUGGUAGCCUGCGAAAAGCCCCGGGGAGCUGGCAACAAGCUUUGAUCCGAGGAUGUCCGAAUGGGGAAACCCGACCUAUAUGGUCAUUUGCAUCUGAAUACAUAGGGUGCAAAAGCAAAACCCGGGGAACUGAAACAUCUAAGUACCCGGAGGAAAAGAAAUCAACCGAUAUUCCCUCAGUAGUGGCGAGCGAAAGGGGAGCAGCCCUAAACCCGGUGAGUCGUUAGUGGAACAGUCUGGAAAGUCUGGCCAUAGUGGGUGAUAGCCCCGUACACGAAAAUAACUCACCGGCUAUUCGAGUAGGACGGGACACGUGAAAUCCUGUUUGAAAAUGGGGGGACCAUCCUCCAAGGCUAAAUACUCCCUGCCGACCGAUAGUGAACAAGUACCGUGAGGGAAAGGCGAAAAGAACCCCGGAGAGGGGAGUGAAAUAGACCCUGAAACCGCAUACGUACAAGCAGUCGGAGCCUUUUUAAGGUGACGGCGUACCUUUUGUAUAAUGGGUCAGCGACUUACUUCUCAGUGGCAAGCUUAACCAAUUAGGGGAGGCGUAGGGAAACCGAGUCUUAAUAGGGCGUUUUAGUCGCUGGGAGUAGACCCGAAACCGGGCGAUCUAUCCAUGGCCAGGGUGAAGGCAGGGUAAAGCCUGCUGGAGGCCCGAACCCACUCCUGUUGAAAAAGUAGGGGAUGAGCUGUGGAUCGGAGUGAAAGGCUAAUCAAGCUCGGAGAUAGCUGGUUCUCCUCGAAAGCUAUUUAGGUAGCGCCUCGCGUAUCACUCUCAGGGGUAGAGCACUGUUAUGGCUAGGGGGCUCUCAGGAGCUUACCAAACCAUUGCAAACUCCGAAUACUGGGAAGUGCCAGCGCGGGAGACACACGGCGGGUGAUAAGGUCCGUCGUGAAAAGGGAAACAGCCCAGACCGCCAGCUAAGGUCCCAAAGUUACAGCUCAGUGGUAAACGAUGUGGGAAGGCUAAAACAGCCAGGAGGUUGGCUUAGAAGCAGCCAUCCUUUAAAGAAAGCGUAAUAGCUCACUGGUCGAGUCGGCCUGCGCGGAAGAUAUAACGGGGCUAAGCUGUACACCGAAGCUGCGGAUACCGCAAGGUAUGGUAGAGGAGCGUUCCGUAGGCCUGCGAAGGUGUGUUGGAAAGCAUGCUGGAGGUAUCGGAAGUGCGAAUGCUGACAUGAGUAGCGAUAAUGCGGGUGAAAAACCCGCACGCCGAAAGCCCAAGGUUUCCUGCGCAACGUUAAUCGGCGCAGGGUGAGUCGGCCCCUAAGGCGAGGCUGAAAAGCGUAGUCGAUGGGAAACAGGCUAAUAUUCCUGUACCUCUUGGUACUGCGAUGGGGAGACGGAGAAGGCUAAGCCAUCCAGGUGUUGGUUAUCCUGGUUUAAGCGUGUAGGGAGUCCCGCUAGGAAAAUCCGGCGGGGCAAUCCUGAGGCGUGAUGACGAGCCCUUUAUUGGGCGAAGUGGCCCAUGCCAAGCUUCCAAGAAAAUCCUCUAAGCUUCAGGUACCAAAGACCGUACCCUAAACCGACACAGGUGGGCAGGGAGAGAAUCCUAAGGCGUUUGAGAGAACUCUGGUGAAGGAACUAGGCAAAAUAGCACCGUAACUUCGGGAGAAGGUGUGCCCCUUGUAUGUGAAAAGCUUGCGCUUGGAGCAGAACGGGGUCGCAGUGACCAGGUGGCCGCGACUGUUUAUUAAAAACACAGCACUCUGCAAACACGAAAGUGGACGUAUAGGGUGUGACGCCUGCCCGGUGCCGGAAGGUUAAUUGAUGGGGUCAGCCGAAAGGCAAAGCUCUUGAUCGAAGCCCCGGUAAACGGCGGCCGUAACUAUAACGGUCCUAAGGUAGCGAAAUUCCUUGUCGGGUAAGUUCCGACCUGCACGAAUGGCGUAACGAUGGCCACGCUGUCUCCACCAGAGACUCAGCGAAAUUG
rnacentral:rRNA from 1 species